rnacentral:pre_miRNA from 1 species
CAACUACUCCCUUUGUCCCAAAUUUCUUGUCUUAGAUUUGUCUAGAUACGGAUGUAUCUAAUACUAAAAUGUGACUUGAUACAUCCGUAUCUAGACAAAUCUAAGACAAGAAUUUUGGGACGGAGGAAGUACUUU